rnacentral:rRNA from 1 species
GACGAACGCUGGCGGCAUGCCUAACACAUGCAAGUCGAACGGAGAUUAUUUCGAUAAUCUUAGUGGCGAACGGGUGAAUAACGCGUGGGCAACCUGCCCUCUAGAUGGGGACAACAUCCCGAAAGGGGUGCUAAUACCGAAUGUGACAGCAAUCUCGCAUGAGGAUGCUGUGAAAGAUGGCCUCUAUUUAUAAGCUAUCGCUAGCGGAUGGGCCUGCGUCUGAUUAGCUAGUUGGUGGGGUAACGGCCUACCAAGGCGAUGAGCAGUAGCCGGUCUGAGAGGAUGAACGGCCACAUUGGGACUGAGACACGGCCCAGACUCCUACGGGAGGCAGCAGUGGGGAAUCUUCCGCAAUGGGCGAAAGCCUGACGGAGCAAUGCCGCGUGAGUGAUGAAGGAAUUCGUUCCGUAAAGCUCUUUUGUUUAUGACGAACGUGCAAGUUGUGAAUAAUGACUUGUAAUGACGGUAGUAAACGAAUAAGCCACGGCUAACUACGUGCCAGCCGCCGCCGUAA